UCAUCUGUCUGCUGCCAUGUUUUUCACCCUGUUUCACUGCCAGUCUCCCUCUCUCCAUCACUGGCUCUUCUUUCACCGUCCUCAGGCCUUCUUUCUGCUUCCUGGAUCUGGAUUGUCAGACCAAGUUCGCAGCGUUAAAGUUACACCACUCUGCAGAGACCAGCUGGGGGUCUCAGUUACUCCGGAAAGUUCGCUGCUCAUGCUACAGGCAUGCCGCUCUGUCUUUGGCUGGGUUUCAGCUGUCUACUCCUGUAGGUUUACACACACACUCACACUCACACUCACACAUCAAUGCAGCAUGUGUUCAGCCUCCCCCCUGUGACCGGACCCCAGUACAGGAGCAUUAUCUAUUUAAGGCCACUAACUCUGCGGAUUAGAUCAAGAUUCGGCCCCAUAAUGGCUCGUCUGGCACAGCGACCUGCUUCAAUUAAGGCCCACACCGACCUCUCACACACAUCCGAAAAAUAUGAUCUCACUCACACCCAGGCAUGAUUACGAUAAAAGUGAAAAGGCCGCUCAUACUUUAGGAUCUGUAUUUUUAUAGGUUUUUCCCUCCAAAGUGACGUUUACAUCAUGUGGAAAAAUUGACGCCUCCUCAGUAAAGUAAAGCCGCUGACAGAUCAUUAUGAGCAUUACGGGACAUAUUAACACCCUUUAUAUUUAAGAAGUAAUGGUUAAAAGAACACGCUGUUAAAAUGUAAAGACAGUAUACUUUAAUUUCCCUCACUUUACUGGCUGGUAGUGAAAGUUUUUGGCAGCUAAAAACUUUUCUGAAAGUCUCUCGAAGAGGCUUUGCACAUCUAUUUCAUCGGACAUGUAUGCAGGGGUGGGACGAAUAAAAAGUGCAAAAGAUCUGUACCAAUUUUUCAGAUUUUCUGCUCUUCCUCACAGAUUAAAAGUCGAGGAUGAACAAAUUUCUCAUAAAUGUAAUUUUUGAAAGUUAGUCUGCAGGAGUUUUCCACUUUUAAAUGUAAAGCCGACGCAGAACUGAUUUGACGUUGCAGUCAUGGUCAACAAGGGGCGACUCUUGUGGAGGUAUUCCUGUUUGCACGUGUCACAAUUAAUCCCCCUGUUGCAAGCUAGGUAAAAAGUAAACAUAACAAGAUUCAUGUAGCUCAAUUACCAUCAGUAUCAUUUUAAAGAUAAUCCUUUCAUAUCUAUCUAUCUAUCUAUCUAUCUACUAAAAAAAAAAACAUGCCAUUAUACAAGAUGUCAUCUGGGCUUGGUUACAUCUGGGUAGUAAAGCACUGUAGCAGAAGUUGUUGUCUGGAGCUAUGGGAAAGACAAGGAAAAACAAAAUAUGGAUGCUUAGUUGCGGAGGUAUGAGAAAGUGGGGGGAAAAGUACCCUGAGCUGAGCAUUUUUUGGUCUAAAAGAGGUCUGAUAGACAUCUAAAUGUAGCCUAGACCAGUGGUUCUCAAGUCCAGUCACACAACUGAUUCAAAUAAUCAGCUCGUUAUCAAGCUCUGUAAUGGCUUACUAAUGAGCUGAUCAUUUGAAUCAGGUGUGUUAGAGCAGGGAAACAUCCAAAACAUGCAGGACAGUGGACUUCAGAACCACUGGCCUAGACAACUGGUCUAAAAUCAGACUACCACAGGUCUAUAAAUGUAAGUUUUUUAGACGUCUAAAUUUAAAUCUAAACCAAGUUUAGACCAAAUCUAAAUCUGGGCUAUAUCUACACUACACUGUAUAUUGCUCAACGGCCAUCAUUAUUAUUUUGGUUAAGUACUUGGAGAUCAGUUUUUCAGCUUGAAAUAAAUAGUUAUUGAACAAUGGGUUAAAGUGCAACGUCUAAAUCCGUCUAAAAAUAAACAGAAUCUGGACGUUUAAAAUUAGGUCUAAAAAAAACUAGACGCCUAAUAGCCGGCUAUUGCUCAGUGGGUACUUUUGUUCACCGUUGUUCAUAUUUUGUUAUUUCAAGUGUUGCAUUAAUUUUAGUCCCUGCUGUCAUAGAUUUGUAUUUGUGCAACACAUCUUCAGAAGUGGACUGUGGAUAUGUCCCCCUCAUGCACAAAGUUUUUCCAGUUUCUGCAACCAGAUUCUCGGACUUUGACUCCAACUAAGUGUCACUCAAACACACACUCAUGCAUAAACUCACACACUUUUCCAAUUAUGGUCAACCCCAACACUGCAGACGACUGCUUUCACAUACUGUCACGCUCAUAAAAUAAACCCCACUUCCCACAAACACACUCUCACACACAGACAUACAUCUUCCAUAAUGAUGAAGCCGAGCCGUUCGCUAUUCAGCCUCUUGUUUUUAUUUGUUUAUAUCAUGGAAGCAGCUCUGUGGAGUACUCAGAGUCGGGAAUGUUGGAAUAAUGAGGCGAGCCUGUAAAUAAUGAAACAAAAGCUGUAGAGCAUCAAUUAGGAGCCAUUUACUGCCUCCCAUCCAUCUCCUAUAAGUGUGUGUAAAUGUGUGUGUGUGUGUGUGUGGUUUCAGACGUGUUUGGGGUUUUUGCACAUGUCCUUCUGAAAACACAUUAAUCAAAUCAGGGAAACAUCACCAUCUCCUCUGAUAUGAAAAUGAGCCAUUUGCAACAUUGAGGACAUUGUCAUCGUAAUUGCUCUUUGACAGCUCUGUGCGCACACACACACACAAACACACUCAUAUAAUCUUUAAUUGCCUCCAAAAUGUUUAUGUCAAGAUGGUGUUGCUAAGAUAAUGGCGAGGGACUCAUGCUAAUGGCAUCUCUGUAUUUAGCGCUCCACAUCAGCAGAGAAAUCGGCAUCAGAUAUUUAGCUGCGUGCAGAGGCUGCUAUUGUCAGGGUAAUAUUGAGCUGCUGGAUGCCGGCCAAUUCAUUAAAAAACUUAUCGCACCAGAAGGAAAUCUAGAGCACAGUGAGGCAUAGCGGGGAGAUUUUAAUAAAUAUAGCUAAUGUGACAUUUUCAAUAUGCUGCUUCUCUGUUUACAUGCAGGAAUUUCACUCUUCGCGUUGCUUCAGCGCCAAAUUGUGCAGCCAAACUCCCAUCUCUGCUCCUCUUUGUUUGUUACUUAUAUCCAGAGUUCAUUAAAUUCAGACGUCAGAUCAUUAAGAAGGCAAUGAUACAAAUUAAACAGUGCUGUUUGGUAUUCAUGAAGAGGGCUACGGCAGAAAACACUGGAAAAUAACCCCAUGGAUCACGCAGGAGACAAGUCAAUAUGUAAAGAGCCACAAUGCAGAGAGCAGAUGGCGAAAAAACGCAAAGAAAACUCAUCUUUAAGGAGGCAUCAUUGUUGUGUUUCUUGCAGAACACAGCUUGCAUCUUAUUUUUUUACUUUCAGUACAUGUUAUUCAGUCUAAAUUUACCACGUGCAGAGCUGUAACUUCAGACGUUUUUAACACCGGUGACCUUUAAAGCUGAGUCUGUGUUUCUUCUUUAUCAAACAGAGCCCAGCUGAUUGGAGAGUUGAUUUUCUGGAGGUCUCCGAAUCUAAACAACAACAACAGCAGCUUCUCUCUAUGUCAGAGCACUCAGCUCACAGGUACAGUCUCUUCCUCCAGAUCAUUCACAAAAGCGCUCUAUUCCUCUCUGUUUCACACCCCACAUGCCCACAAAUCAAACCUCCUUAUUUUUUUGUUACAUUUUCGAAUCAAAGAAAAAGAUUCAUUCUCGCCUUUUGUCAGAAAUGGACAGACGAGUAACAUGACAGAUGAGCCGUGUUGACUGUGAUCCCAGAUAUUCCCAUAACAGCCUCCAGAAAUCCUGUUAACAGUUCUAUGAUCCAGUUUGCUCUUUCGCUGUCUUUUUGUUCUGUUUUUCACUCUCUGACUAAUCUAGUUUUUGCUCAUUUAACUAAUCUGUGCCAUCUCCUGAGAAAAUGGGGUUAUACCAGACCCACUUUCCAAGCAUUUUAGGCUCCACGAGGCUGUUUAAAACUGAAAAACUUGACUGAAUGAUGAUAACCAAGUCCAAUUGUUGAGGAAAAAUGAUUCCCGUAGAGGCUUGUAAAAAUACUUUUGACACUCAUUUUUCAUAUCUUGUUGGACCUAGUCUGCUCUGUGGAGAAUGGUGCAGCUGAAAAUAAUAGUACAAUGAUAUCACAAACUAAAUUAGAAAGUUUUUUGGUCCUUGGAAUGAAAUCUAAAAAAAUGUCAAAUAUUUGGUAUGGGGAUGGCACUUCAUUUGCGUGUUGUCCGCUGAGUCAGAAAAGUCCCCUUCACAAUUGGAUAGAAAUGUUUCCACAGCGUCCAACACAUUGGCCAACCCCGCUUUCCCUUUUUCCCAGACUCUCCAUCACACACUUUCUCUCUCUCUCACACAGUCCUGAUCUACUGGCUGCAGUAGUGAUGACCUUGCUAUCGUUUACACCAGCUGCUAGUCCAUUGUGUACCGCUGAUCAGCACAGUUACCCUCCUGACUACCACCACCACCACCGCGCGCACCCGCAAACACGCACGUAUGCAAAUGCUGCAAACAGCAUGCCAAGUUUAGCCUGCCUCCAAAAACUCUGCCUAAUUAUCAUGGCACUGAAGCCGGCAUGAAAAGCCCGUUGUUGCUAUCAAGUCUCUCCAUAAACCUCGGAGAGAUUGACAUUUACAAAGUCGGAAAGUUGCGACAGAAUUCUCUAUCACAGUCGCAGAGAGCAGAAUAGAUGGAUAUAAUGUGGGAUAGGAAGGCUGAAUUUGUCUCUUCUGUAUCUGGGUUGCAGAAUAACAAGUGAAUGAUUUAUGAACGUGAGCACUUUCCCACCGCGGCAGAGGAUUUGAAGAGGAAGUGAAGUGACAACAGGCUCGGACAGAUUGUUGUAUUUACUCAGCAGAUAUCCAGAGUGUAAACUGAAACCAGCCUGCUGUUAAAACAAAUUUGUUGUUAUUUCCUUCUUUAUAGCAUGGAUAUUAGAAAAAUAUAUUUGUUGUUAUGUUUGUUAUCUUGAGGGAUUUGUCUUAGUGAUAAUGCAGUAAAAAGCACAUGUAGCUUACUUAUUGUAUCAACACACCAUUAGUCCAGAUGCAUCUGUGAUAAAACGUAUUUCAUUCUUAUCUGGCUCCAAACUUUUACUCCCUUUCAGUGACUUAAAUACUUCACGAAAUACAAAACAUGUUUGGCUUUACUGCUUCGAUAUAUUUUCAAGAGUUCAGCUUGAGUUUAUUUGAAUUAAUCACCCAUCUUGACCUUUGGAGUUCCACAGGGCUCACUCCUCGGUCCUCUCUAUUUUACCUGUUCGUGCUUGUAUUUGGUCCCCCUUUACAAAUAGAUUCCUGCAUAUGAAUCUGUUGUUGAGGGACCUGAUUUUUUACAGCUGGAACAAUUUGCGAUUGAUUUGUACAGCACAUUCAAGUUCGAGCGGGUUUUUGAGUUUCAUGCAUGAAAACUGUUUAUUCUUAAUAUAUUCUUAUAUAUGUUUCUAGUAAAUCAGCAGGAAACGAAACCCUAACCAAAAAGGAUUCAAAGACAAGAGGAAACUGCUGUAUCAUCGAACAAAAGAUUCAGAACUGUAAAUGCAACGUUAGCCACUUGCUAACAGGUUUUGUUAUUGUUUUUGUACGUUACAGCUCAACCCCGGAGACAACACAGCUGUAACAAGCUGAAAAAGGACGUGUGCAGACUUGCCUCAGUCCAUGAUUCAAUUCUUGUCUAGUUCUUGUAAACUGGGACAUGAAUAGAAAUCCAAUUUAGUCGCCGUUUUGCGCCAUGACCCUAGCGUGACCUAGCAUGUAAAUGCACUGAUGGUGUUGGUCAAACUGUUAAGAAUGCAGCGUACAAACAAAAAACUUUUGCCAAAACAUUGACCACAGUAGAACAGCCUUAACUGCUGUCUAACAGUAUCUUAUACGGUCUAAGAUGUCUUUAUGCAGAUGACAUCCAAAUAUGCAUAAGCCAUUUUUUGUUGGUCCAAAUAAUGUCGUCAUUGUUGGUGAAUAACAUAUAAAGGCCGGGCCAGCUCAUCUGUGUCUUAUGAAUUUCAGUUCAACAGUAGAGAGUUUGGAUCACAGAUGCUGUGAUUUGCCUGACCUUGGCAGCUAGCCUGAAGACAAACUUUUAAAAGCUUUGUUGAAGGAGAAUAAUCGACUCUAAUGCAUUUUUUUUCUUUUGUUUGGGAAAUGUAAACACUGAUUGGCUUUCAUGUGGAUGCAGUUAUCUCUUUUCUGAGACGAAUAAAUCUUUGUAUAAUUAAGGCAGAUGGGAGCCUGGAUGUUAUCAUGGUGGAUUUUGUUCUGCCUCUGUUUACAUAUUGUUUCUCCAGCAUACACUAAAGCCGGCUGACACACGACUUGACCAAUCUUACUUUGACUGCAAAUGCACAGCAAACAUUACAGAUUACAAAACCUUUCUACUCUGGACAUCUUAUAUCAUGUCACCCACUUAUUUUCAAAUACAGCGCAAUGGCUUUCAAUUUGAAGUUAAGCACAAAUCUGCCCACUCCUACUUAUCUUAAAUCUUUCCAGUUAUUCAGGAUGAAAUCUGGACAGUAUAUCACUCAAACUAACACUCUCACUUUCUUAGGACAUGUUGUCUACACUUAAUGAGGAGACCCAGCCAGCAGGAACAGCCACAGACUUCUCUUUCAUUUAUAUUUCUGUAUUUUUCCAAUCUUUCCCUGUCUCUGAACACUUGAUCCUGUGUUUCCUAAUCCAUGUUUUGAAGCUAUAAUACCACUUUGAAGGGCAUGUGUAUAUUUUAUAAAUAAAUGUGCUUUGCUUUGCCUAUAAAUAAAUGUUCAUAAUGCACCUUUCACAGAUUAGGAGCUUAGCCCAAAGCCGUCUUAAUACCCAGUGUCUGACUGGUUUCUAUUAUCUUUGGAAGCUCUUUUGCACACAACAAGUGAUGCAUUUUACAUUUAAUGAAGAGCUGGAACAAAAUAGCUUGAGCAAUACCCACCAACGCUCAAAAAAGACAAAGACAAGUGAGUGCCACCCACAACAGUCUCAAAGUUUGCUCACUGAAAAUGGAAGGAAACAGUUCUGCCCACGCUGUUUGACUGACCGCUCGUCUGUGGGAGGUGCAAAGCAGAAACAUCUCCAUGAAUCGAUGAAGAGUUUAUCUUUCUAAAUGCACUACAGAUGUACAGUUCAGGACUCUAAACACCUGUCAUUCUGGUGCUGCGUGGGUUUUUGCAGCACGUCAUCCAAAAUGUUUCCAAACUAUCCCCCAAAUUGAAAGUUUGACUCGCCCGUAUUGACCCUGGACAGGGUUGUCAGAUGCUACAGCGCUGUGACCAUUAUUGAUAAUGAGCAUGACACAUGAGGUGCCAGCUUAGAGCUUUGACAAACAGGUGUCUGACCCCUGAAAACAAUUAGAGACUAUUGUCAUGACCUUUAGAUGGUCACCACCCUGGAACCUGGGAUUGAGAAUAAUGAAUCUGGCUGCCGUCAUUACCUGGACAGGAGGAGUGUGUGCUGCGUACGUGUUUGUGUCAGAGUCGGAGAGGAGCUGGAUUAUGAAUACAGGCGAUAUGGAGGCAAUACACAAUUCAUGUGUUUUUGUGUGUAUAACUGUCAAGAAGUCACAUUGAUAGCCCACGCAGUAGUAUAGGACAAGCUUUUCUUUGUUUCUUUGUUCAUGCAACAGUUUGCAGCAAAGGAGUGAAAGGAGUGCUACAUUAGCACCCCGGCUGCCGACUCAAAGUCCAUAAAUAGAGCAUGUGCAUAGUCAAGUUCAAAUAUUUGAUCGUUAUGAUCAUAGACUGUAUAUACUAUGGACAACUUGGUUCCGCCUUCCACUAGUAUACAGAUUUGAAGCAGAAAAGCUUGUGGUGUUUCUGCAUUUUUUUUCUCCACUUCUUGAAACCAAGGUGUUAGAACAUAAAGCCGUAAUGUUAUGAAUUGCACAGAUUGCAGGACAGGAUGUUGGUUCAGGUCCAUAAGUAACUGCUGGGUGUUGUUGCGUCUUAGCCUGGCUGGGCCAUCCUGUUGCGUGAAUCACUUGCCGUUCCUUCCCACAACAGCCUGUACUUCGGCCAAUUGGGAGCGUGUAUUAGAAAUCAGAAAAUAACCGGGCCAAUCAGUGACUGUGUUUCCACUGUUCCCCGGACAACAGGGAAAGACAGCCCCUGAUUGGUCCAUGUGUAGACGGUGACGUCUAACACAUGCUGUGGGACUUUUCAAAGUGACCUUUAUUCAGAACGCCAUUAAUUCUGCAGUUGACUUUGCAAAGUCGGCAGAAAUCGUUAACUCCGCAGAAAAAGACGUAAAAGACAUUGUUUGCUCGUACACGUUGAAAUAUCACCAAACCUUUACUUGAUGCUUGAGAGCCCAGCAGGGAACACAGUUGCGCACUGUGAUGACGUCAGAUGUUUGGUUACGGUGACUGGUUACAGUAGUCUGUCUAUCAAGGAAAGUACUCCCGCCCACUUUUAGGGCUCCCAAUUGGCCGAAGUCCAGACUGUUGUGGGACGGAACAGCAAGUGAUUCACGCAACUGGAUGGCCCAGCCAGGCUAGUUGCGUCUUGACUCUUGAUACCAGCCCUAAGACAGAGACUCACGUUUUUACCACAGUGUCAACAAGCGGAGAGAGAAUAUGUCGGACUUCUUCCCACAGAAACUUUCACCUCAGAAUUCAUAAGUUUCUGUUAUUAUGAGGUUUUGAUUAAUAAAGAGUCUGUUACCCAGCAAGGUAAUGAUCAAAUGUUACUUAUAAGCCUGAAAAACUGCCAGAUUUUUCUCUAAUCCGAUGGAUAAUUAACGGAUGAGAUCCAACUGGAACUCAUUGGUAUGGAGUUCAAACUAUGGACAAGAACAGCAUGCAUCAGUGUGCGUCUCUGUGUGUAUAUUUCCAUAAUUUCCUGCUUUUUAAGUUCUCUCUAACUUGGCUUAUGUCUCGACUCUUUGGCAGGAAGAAUCUGGCGGUUACUGUCUGAAGAUUUGGACAAACAUUGAUUCACACAAAUGGACAUCCAAACCCUUCUCUGGUCCUGGCUCGCAUCCUAUCCUGACUCUUUCUGUCCUCCCAAUUUAAAUUCAAUCAGAUCAACGUCUUUGUGAAAGUUAAGCACGAUGAACGAGUUCAGAAGAUCUACAUCUCUCUCUCUCUUUUUCUCUGCUUACUGCGCGUUGGCCAACCGUGGCGCAGGUUUGUGAGGCUUUGUUGUGCCUUCUUGGUCUCCUUCCUCAUUUGCCUUUGACAACACUGAUAAUCCACCAACAAGAUCCCCCCAUUCAAACCACCACCUACACACACACACUUGCACACACACACACACACACACACUCACGCAAACACACACACACUAACAAACACUUCCAGAUGCUCAGAAACACAUUCACCAAAAACCUGCUCACACAAAUACAAUCCCGCACAGACACACACUGAGACACACAGAUACACUAGGUGCCAACCAUUGCCAUGGAAACUCCAAUCAGCACAGGCUCCCUUUCCCCUAUUACAGCAGAGAUAUGACAGAUUCUCUUGCCUUCUUCCUGCCCUCCUUGAAUUAUGAUUUUUGUUUCUCUUCCCAUCUCCUUCUCUUCCUCUUUUUUGUCUUUAUUCUUCAUCACCGGAACCUGUUUUUCUUAUUCUCUCCGUUCACGCCCACUGAUACAAAUCAUCCCCUGAAGUUAAAAAACAAAAUGUAUUCCUUCUUCUUUGAUUCCUGCAAAAAAAUGAAAAAGAAAAAAAGCAUUUGAGGUUAGUGCCUAAGAAGAGCUGCACUUCAAGACAAAUGUUUGCAAAUGAAAAACAGUUUCUCUGACUUUCAGAUUCUGCGCAACCUUUUCUUUCUCUCAGACUAGAUUCAGGUCAGUCUCAGAUUUAGCAUCGUAAAAUGUAAAAGUAAUAUGGGCAAGUGGUGCUAACAUGAGCCAAAGAUCUGCAUGUUAAGGGUUUAGUUUGGCGGCUAAGGAGAUCCCGUUACCCCCGGCAACAUAUAUCCGUAUGUUUCUGCUGUCUCUGUUUUGGUUAACAUCGCUGUAUCUAUGAUGGGCAGUGCUCUCAGGGUGAUUGACAGUUCAUUCUGAUUUUAUUGAGAGCUCUCAUCUCGUCGGCGGGGAAGUUGGGGCGAUUUUGACAUGAUGUGACAAAAGACAGGAGACAGAUCUGCACUGGGG